CGGAACGGGUGAGUAAUGCGUGACCAACCUCGCCCCAUGCUCCAGAAUAGCUCUUGGAAACGGGUGGUAAUGCUGGAUGCUCCAACUUGACGCAUGUCUUGUUGGGAAAGUGUUUAGUGGCAUGGGAUGGGGUCGCGUCCUAUCAGCUUGUAGGCGGGGUAAUGGCCCACCUAGGCUUCGACGGGUAGCCGGCCUGAGAGGGCGGACGGCCACAUUGGGACUGAGAUACGGCCCAGACUCCUACGGGAGGCAGCAGCG
rnacentral:rRNA from 1 species